rnacentral:rRNA from 1 species
GUGCCAGCCGCCGCGGUAAUACGGAGGGUGCGAGCGUUAUCCGGAAUUACUGGGUUUAAAGGGUGCGUAGGCGGCUUGGUAAGUCAGGAGUGAAAGUUUGCGGCUCAACCGUAAAAUUGCUUUUGAUACUGCCAGGCUAGAAUCAGGAUGAGGUCAGCGGAAUGUGGCAUGUAGCGGUGAAAUGCAUAGAUAUGCCAUAGAACACCUAUUGCGAAGGCAGCUGGCUAGACCUGUAUUGACGCUGAGGCACGAAAGCGUGGGGAGCGAACAGGAUUAGAAACCCUUGUAGUCC